rnacentral:rRNA from 1 species
AUUGGACGCUGGCGGCAUGCCUUACACAUGCAAGUCGAACGGCAGCGGGGGAGAAGCUUGCUUUUCCUGCCGGCGGGUGGCGAACGGGUGAGUAAUACAUCGGAACGUGCCCUGUAGUGGGGGAUAACUAGUCGAAAGAUUAGCUAAUACCGCAUACGACCUGAGGGUGAAAGUGGGGGACCGCAAGGCCUCAUGCUAUAGGAGCGGCCGAUGUCGGAUUAGCUAGUUGGAGGGGUAAAGGCCUACCAAGGCGACGAUCAGUAGCUGGUCUGAGAGGACGAUCAGCCACACUGGGACUGAGACACGGCCCAGACUCCUACGGGAGGCAGCAGUGGGGAAUUUUGGACAAUGGGCGAAAGCCUGAUCCAGCAAUGCCGCGUGUGUGAAGAAGGCCUUCGGGUUGUAAAGCACUUUUGUCCGGAAAGAAAUGGCUCUGGUUAAUACCUGGGGUCGAUGACGGUACCGGAAGAAUAAGGACCGGCUAACUACGUGCCAGCCGCCGCAGUAA